UACUUCCAGGUCAGCCCCUAAAGCUGUUGGGGGUCACAGCCCCAACUCCCAAGUGGAACAGUUCUUAUGUGACCAGCACUGCCUGUCCACUUGAAUGGCAAAGACUGCUAUAGAUGAAGGGGUUCAACAUGGGGGUGAUCACAGCAUACAUCACUGAGGCAACUGUGCUCUUCCAGGAGGAGUGGGUAGCUGAGGAAUUCAGAUACACUCCAAAAACUGUGCCAUAAAAUAAUGAAACAACACAAAGAAUAUGGGGGAGAAAGGUGUCAAAGAACAAAGCCCACAAGAAUAUCUAGGGUGAGUAGGCAAGAGCAACAAGCUCAUCCUCUCUCCGGAGUCCCUAUGGAUUCCCCUAAAUUUACAAACCUGCCAGAUUUCUUAAAG
rnacentral:lncRNA from 1 species